CCCUUCUCGCUUCAAUAUUUCGAUUUACAGAUUUGUAGAAAUUUGUUUAAGAGUUCUGUUUCUUUAUUAGAUGUGUCUCUUCUUCCUUUUAAGAGUUAUUGAUAUAGGUUAAACAUAUGUAUAUCUUAUGUUGCUAAUCGCUAGUUGUUAUGCUUCCAAGUUUGAAAAUGUCUUCUCGUGUGGAUUUUUGCUUGAAAUGUUGAAGAUUUGGACCUCUUUGAUCUCACUAUUGGUUGCUGCCCGAUUGGAAUUUUUUUUUUCUUUUUCGUUUUGAUGUUUUCUUUGCAUCAUGUUCCCUCAUAAUCAAAUAUUUGUUUAGAGUUUUGAUUUUUAUCUCUUAUUUGGUAUAAUUUGAGUCUGUUUCAAUCUCUCAUUCCCAUAAAGUUUCUGCCAGUUUCUCUUUCAUUGGAAAUUCUUUAUGUUGUAAAUGUGGAUCUAAUAUUGAGUAAAAUGCAAGAUUUGUGAUCCAAUCUUCUUGAUUAUUUUUGCCUUGCUACCACUAAUUUUAAUUUCCCUGAUGGUAUAUGCUAGUUAAUUACAUCUCUAAAUCUGUCUUCUUUAGCUAAUUUCAUUCUUCUAUAGUAAUUUUAGAUAUAUUUAAUCGCAUGUUUCUGAAGUAAAUGUUCAAUCUUUGUGUCUAGUGAAGUUGAUCUGUCUUCCUGCUGUAGUGUAGUGAUAGUGAUUUGUGUAUGAGUUUAUUAAAAUGAAUGGAUUAUUGCUCAACUUUAAGACUACCCUUUCGUUCACUAUGUUGGCUCAAUUACUUCAUUAUGGUUAACUCUUGUGAGAACUUUUAUGCUUUGAUGUUUCUGUGGGAAUUUUACCUUUAUUUGUUUCAAGUACAAUGACAUUUUUUUGCUAGGAUUAGAAUCAUAAUAUCUGUCUCAUCAAAUUUUUUUCAUAACUAUUUAAAUACUGCUUAUCAGUUUGGAGUCUAUUCUCGUUUAGGAUAAAUCUAUGGUGUAGUCCAGAUGAUUCUCUUUGUCGUGCUUCCCUGAGUUUUCCGAAGGUCAAGGACAAGCCGAUGCAUUAAAAAGGGGGAAAGCUCAAGUACUUUCGAGCAUUCAUAUUUGUUUCGAGUUGUUGGUAGGUGAGGAGAAUUUGGGAAGCAAGACUUGGAUCGUAGCAUCAUUCAAG